rnacentral:rRNA from 1 species
AUUGAACUGAAGAGUUUGAUCCUGGCUCAGAUUGAACGCUGGCGGCAUGCCUUACACAUGCAAGUCGAACGGCAGCACGGGUGCUUGCACCUGGUGGCGAGUGGCGAACGGGUGAGUAAUACAUCGGAACAUGUCCAGUAGUGGGGGAUAGCCCGGCGAAAGCCGGAUUAAUACCGCAUACGAUCUACGGAUGAAAGCGGGGGAUCUUCGGRCCUCGCGCUAUUGGGGUGGCCGAUGGCGGAUUAGCUAGUUGGUGGGGUAAAGGCCCACCAAGGCGACGAUCCGUAGCUGGUCUGAGAGGACGACCAGCCACACUGGGACUGAGACACGGCCCAGACUCCUACGGGAGGCAGCAGUGGGGAAUUUUGGACAAUGGGCGAAAGCCUGAUCCAGCAAUGCCGCGUGUGUGAAGAAGGCCUUCGGGUUGUAAAGCACUUUUGUCCGGAAAGAAAUCCUGGUGGCUAAUAUCCGCCGGGGAUGACGGUACCGGAAGAAUAAGCACC